AAUAGCCAACACUUAACAUGACGCCCACGAUGUGCAGGCACUGUUCUAAGCAUUUUACAUAUGUAAACUGGUUAAUCCUCAUCACAACUCCAUGAGUUUCCUGGUUGAAGGAUUAAUUAUCUGCUACCUGAUCUAAAGUUGAUAAAUGAAAAACAUCAGUAUUAACACAUGACAUGGAAAAAACACCAGAGGAGAAAAAACCACCAAAGGAAGAAAAACAAAAACUGUGAACAGUGAUGUCUCACCGGGGGUGGGAGCACGGCAGCAGACAUUUGUCAAAACUCACCCAACUCUAUAAUUUAAAUGUGUGCAUUUUAUGGUAUAUAAAUGAUUCCUCA
rnacentral:lncRNA from 1 species